UCUAAAAACAACGCAGUUAGAUACAUAGCAGAAAUAUUGAGAUUUAUAAUUUUAUUUUUUUCGGAAGUCGUUAUUUUUUUCAUUUCUAUUACUAUUUUAACCGACUGCCAAGUAGGGUUAUUUGUCAAUGUUUACUAGAACACUAAUGCCCGUUUUCACCAACAACCUCUUACCGUUUCCCUAUCUAAAAGCUACUUUUAAUAAGGACCCCUCCCAAUUUGACACCUACCUAAAUUCAUUUUCACCACACUUGUACAUGGAUCCCUUAAGUAAGUGACAGAUUACUAGUUCUACAAACGAUAAUGCAAAGUCGAUAUUUUAUCGAUAAAAUGAUUUUUCUCUACUUCUUAAGAAAUAAACGUCUAUCGAGUAUAUAUUACUAAAGCCUGUGAGUUUUUUUCCUUGUGAUGUUAUUUUAAUUUAACUUAAACUACAUUACGCUAUGUUUUAUGCAAUAAAACAGUAAAGAGGUUUUCUAUAGGUGAAUUUUUACCUAUGUCAUUCGCGCGUUUGUCAAAUUGACUGAUGUGUAUGUGUACAUAGAGUGAGGUUAAUUUUGGGUUUAUUAUUGUUGAAUAGAUAAGUUUAUUUUGGCAGAGAAGAGAAAACGAGGAUAAACCUUUCUUGCAGAAGAAAAAGACAAGCUAGUGAAAUUGCUGACGUCUCAUAGAGACACAAUAUUAAACAAAAAACGGAUGGGACCACGAACGAAGCCAAAAACAAAGCUUGGAUCCAGUUACAAAUAGUUUUAAUGCGAUAGGAACCGUUUACAGUUUCAGGUGGUGCGAGAAAUUGGAAAGACGUGUAAAAACAUGCUGCGCCCAGCCCACCUCAAAUUGAAUUGGUGCAGGAGGAUGAUGAUAAUGUUUGGUACAUCAUAUGAGGACUAAUAUUAAAAUAUUUGUUUAC
rnacentral:lncRNA from 1 species